CACACACACACGCAGAGUCUUUUGAAUUCUGCGUUCGUCAAAUGGGAGCAGAUGAGGCCCGCGCGCUGGUGGUCGUCUCGGAGGACGGACGGACGGGCGGAUGACCGAGGACCUGCGGACUCCAGGUAGCAAGCAUGCGUGUCUGUGCCGCGUUUCCGAGCGACUCUUAUCAAAUAUGACAGCAUCAUCAAACACGAUGACGAUCAUGUGCGCGCUUGUGUCUUCCACAUGGGGGGGAGGGCCCAGGGAGGUCUUUAUGUCAAAGCCCAUCGAAGAACCCACCCAUCCAUCCAUCCAUCCAUUUUCGAACCCGCUUCUCCUCAGGAGCGUUGCGGGUGUGCCAGAGCCUCUCCCGGCCGUCUUCAAGCAGUAGGCGGGGGACACCCUGAACCGGUUGCCAGCCCAUCGCGGGGCACGCAUAGAC